rnacentral:rRNA from 1 species
UACGGAGGGUGCAAGCGUUAUCCGGAAUUAUUGGGCGUAAAGAGCUCGUAGGCGGUUUGUCGCGUCUGCUGUGAAAACUCGGGGCUUAACCCCGGGCCUGCAGUGGGUACGGGCAGACUAGAGUGCGGUAGGGGAGACUGGAAUUCCUGGUGUAGCGGUGAAAUGCGCAGAUAUCAGGAGGAACACCGGUGGCGAAGGCGGGUCUCUGGGCCGUAACUGACGCUGAGGAGCGAAAGCGUGGGGAGCGAACAGG